GACUGGAUUGGAGCCUUUUGUCUGACUCAAAGAAAUGUUUUACUAAGGAUAUUAACUUCAUUGACCUCAUAAUGCAAGUAAGUGAACAAAACAACUUGUCAUUGGGCAGUUCAUAAUGCCAGCACCAUCAUUCACAUCAGUAACUAGAGACAUUCAUGUUCCUCAGUCUUUUAAGUGAUGGGUGACUGUGCAGUAUUCAUAGAAAUAGCUUCUACUGGAAACAUCAAAUGCAUUAGGCAACAAGCUUGGCAGAAGGGCAACCUUCUCAUCAUAAUCCUGUGCAAUUAAUCCUGGCAUUGUGAAGGAUUGUGAGAUUGAUGUCUCACUGCCAGCACAGAGGUAUUUUGCAGAUCCAGGCAAUUUCCAAGCGCCCACCCACAACUCCUUUCCCUGGAUACUUCCAGCUCCAGGAAUGAUGUUUACUAGAAAGGCAAUUCAUCUCCCUCGAAGAAAACAGGGAGUGGAUAAAUGCUACCACCAGGGAGCAUUUCACACUCUUCAUAAACAGUUAAUUCUAGUCAGUGCAUGCAGACUCACAAAAUGCAACUGCUAAGGAAGAGCAUAUGCUUUCCAUACAUAAACAAUAAAAACUUUCUAAAACUGU